UUCAGACUCCCACUCUCGUCUCUCACUCUCCCCGCUCCAAAUUUCACGAUUUUCACUUUUCACCGUAGUCCAGUGUCCAUCGCCACCGCCCACCGCAGGCCGGCGCUCACCGGAGACCGCAGUCCGCCGCCCACCGCAGUCUGCAGGCCAGCCACUCACUACAGUCCGCAGGCCAACCACUCACCACAGUCCGCCGCCUACCGCUUCUGUUCAUCACCCGUCGGCCGUCGCUCACCGCCUGACCCUCACCGUCGACGCCCACCGCCUACCACUCACGUUGUCAAAGUAUCAAUUCCAGAUUUCCACUCUACAGGCUGUGACUUCCACUCUUCCAGGCCCAAGCAAGCAGUAGUGCAGUCUCGGCAGUGGAUAAGCUCACAGAUUCACAGUUCUAUUUAAUUUUUUUUAAAAUAAUUUUUCUUGAGUUUUUUUUUUCUUAAUAAUUUAGCCGGCUAAAUUGCCUGUGUGUACCGGAGUCUUGCUUGUAGUUUUGAAUACUUUAAAUUGUGAAUGUGUAUUGACUGAAUAUUCUGUAACAUGUGAGACUCUAAGUUGAAUUAUUGGAUUACAAUGUAUUUAAUUCAUUUA